rnacentral:SRP_RNA from 1 species
GCCGGGCGCGGUGGCUCACGCCUGUAAUCCCAGCACUUUGGGAGGCCGAGGCAGGUGGAUCACCUGAGGUCAGGAGUUUGAGACCAGCCUGACCAACAUGGAGAAACCCUGUCUCUA